CACGUAGGGUGCGAGCGUUGUCCGGAAUUAUUGGGCGUAAAGAGCUCGUAGGCGGUGUGUCGCGUCGGCCGUGAAAACCUGCAGCUUAACUGUGGGCUUGCGGUCGAUACGGGCAUCACUGGAGUUCGGCAGGGGAGAACGGAAUUCCUGGUGUAGCGGUGAAAUGCGCAGAUAUCAGGAGGAACACCGGUGGCGAAGGCGGUUCUCUGGGCCUUACCUGACGCUGAGGAGCGAAAGCGUGGGGAGCGAACAGG
rnacentral:rRNA from 1 species